rnacentral:rRNA from 1 species
ACGGCCAUACACCAUAUUGAAAACACCGCUUCUCGUCCGAUCACCGAGGUUAAGCAAUGUCGGGCCCGGUCAGUACUUGGGAGGGUGAUCACCUGGGAACACUAGGUACUGUAGGGU